rnacentral:rRNA from 1 species
AUACGGAGGGGGCUAGCGUUGUUCGGAAUUACUGGGCGUAAAGCGCGCGUAGGCGGGCUGGUUAGUUGGGGGUGAAAUCCCAGGGCUCAACCCUGGAACUGCCCUCAAUACUGCCAGUCUUGAGUUCGAGAGAGGUAAGUGGAAUUCCUAGUGUAGAGGUGAAAUUCGUAGAUAUCCGGAGGAACAUCAGUGGCGAAGGCGACUUGCUGGACUAAUACUGACGCUAAGGAGCGAAAGCGUGGGGAGCAAACAGGAUUAGAAACCCGGGUAGUCC